AAUGUAUUCAAGUGUGCUUGUGUAUGUUUUUAUAUGUGUGCAUUAUAAGAGUUAUGUAUACUUGUGUGCGCAUAUCAACAUAAAGAUAAAUACGUAAUGUUGAUAAAAUGGAUGUAUAUAUGUGCUCGCACCGUGUGACGUUAUCAGGUCAUCAGACCACGCCCAGAUGAGCAUUAGAGAACGCCCACUGAUUUCAAGAUCACGCCCAAAGAUCAAAAGAUCACGCCCUAAGAAAGAAAAGGUCAGGGCAACAGAUUCACAUCUGAAGAGAUGAUCAGCCGUCACAAGAAAUUUGUUUGAACCAAGUUCAGUUGAAGAUUGACUCGAUAUUGAAGCUUCAAUUUGUAACAACAAAAUAAUGCGUGGGCUGGUCUACGAUCUGUUCCAAAUAAAAUUAUAUCCUAGUCCAGACCUACAAGACGGCGGAGAAAGACUACGGACAAGUUUCCAACUCGGGACAAUCGAGGUCAUCAAACGACAGUCCAGUCCGCAUUCGGCACGACAAGUGAAUGUAUUACAUAUAUGUUUGUUUGUAAAAUGUUUUAUAUGUUUCGGAUGUUCCUUCAGAGUUGAAGAUAAUUACUUCCUAGUCCAAACCUCCCGCAGGACGACGGGGAAUGGGAGCGGGCAGGGUUUGAACCCUGGACCACCGAUAAAUCUGAACGACAGUCCAGCGCACAAACAGCACG